rnacentral:rRNA from 1 species
GGGUUGUGAGGUUAAGCGAAUAAGCGUACACGGUGGAUGCCUAGGCAGUCAGAGGCGAUGAAGGACGUGCUAAUCUGCGAUAAGCGCCGGUAAGGUGAUAUGAACCGUUAUAACCGGCGAUUUCCGAAUGGGGAAACCCAGUGUGAUCCGUCACACUAUCAUUACCUGAAUACAUAGGGUAAUGAAGCGAACCGGGAGAACUGAAACAUCUAAGUACCCCGAGGAAAAGAAAUCAAACGAGAUUCCCCCAGUAGCGGCGAGCGAACGGGGAGCAGCCCAGGACCUUAAUCAGCAUCAGUGUUAAGAGAACAGUCUGG